CGCGUAGGCGGUCUUGUAAGUCAGAUGUGAAAGCCCGGGGCUCAACCCCGGAAGUGCAUUUGAUACUGCGAGACUUGAGUAUGGGAGGGGGAAGUGGAAUUCCUGGUGUAGAGGUGAAAUUCGUAGAUAUCAGGAGGAACACCAGUGGCGAAGGCGACUUCCUGGACCAAUACUGACGCUGAUGCGCGAAGGCGUGGGGAGCAAACA
rnacentral:rRNA from 1 species